rnacentral:rRNA from 1 species
CCAGGAUGUUGGCUUAGAAGCAGCCAUCAUUUAAAGAAAGCGUAAUAGCUCACUGGUCGAGUCGGCCUGCGCGGAAGAUGUAACGGGGCUAAACCAUGCACCGAAGCUGCGGCAGCGACACUAUGUGUUGUUGGGUAGGGGAGCGUUCUGUAAGCCUGCGAAGGUGUGCUGUGAGGCAUGCUGGAGGUAUCAGAAGUGCGAAUGCUGACAUAAGUAACGAUAAAGCGGGUGAAAAGCCCGCUCGCCGGAAGACCAAGGGUUCCUGUCCAACGUUAAUCGGGGCAGGGUGAGUCGACCCCUAAGGCGAGGCCGAAAGGCGUAGUCGAUGGGAAACAGGUUAAUAUUCCUGUACUUGGUGUUACUGCGAAGGGGGGACGGAGAAGGCUAUGUUAGCCGGGCGACGGUUGUCCCGGUUUAAGCAUGUAGGCUGAUUGUCCAGGCAAAUCCGGAUAAUCAAGGCUGAGGUGUGAUGACGAGGCACUACGGUGCUGAAGUAACAAAUGCCCUGCUUCCAGGAAAAGCCUCUAAGCAUCAGGUAACAUCAAAUCGUACCCCAAACCGACACAGGUGGUCAGGUAGAGAAUACCAAGGCGCUUGAGAGAACUCGGGUGAAGGAACUAGGCAAAAUGGUGCCGUAACUUCGGGAGAAGGCACGCUGGUGUGUAGGUGAAGUCCCUGCGGAUGGAGCUGAGACCAGUCGAAGAUACCAGCUGGCUGCAACUGUUUAUUAAAAACACAGCACUGUGCAAACACGAAAGUGGACGUAUACGGUGUGACGCCUGCCCGGUGCCGGAAGGUUAAUUGAUGGGGUUAUCCGUAAGGAGAAGCUCUUGAUCGAAGCCCCGGUAAACGGCGGCCGUAACUAUAACGGUCCUAAGGUAGCGAAAUUCCUUGUCGGGUAAGUUCCGACCUGCACGAAUGGCGUAAUGAUGGCCAGGCUGUCUCCACCCGAGACUCAGUGAAAUUGAACUCGCUGUGAAGAUGCAGUGUACCCGCGGCAAGACGGAAAGACCCCGUGAACCUUUACUAUAGCUUGACACUGAACAUUGAGCCUUGAUGUGUAGGAUAGGUGGGAGGCUUUGAAGCGUGGACGCCAGUCUGCGUGGAGCCAACCUUGAAAUACCACCCUUUAAUGUUUGAUGUUCUAACGUUGGCCCCUGACCGGGGUUGCGGACAGUGUCUGGUGGGUAGUUUGACUGGGGCGGUCUCCUCCCAAAGCGUAACGGAGGAGCACGAAGGUUAGCUAAUCCUGGUCGGACAUCAGGAGGUUAGUGCAAUGGCAUAAGCUAGCUUGACUGCGAGCGUGACGGCGCGAGCAGGUGCGAAAGCAGGUCAUAGUGAUCCGGUGGUUCUGAAUGGAAGGGCCAUCGCUCAACGGAUAAAAGGUACUCCGGGGAUAACAGGCUGAUACCGCCCAAGAGUUCAUAUCGACGGCGGUGUUUGGCACCUCGAUGUCGGCUCAUCACAUCCUGGGGCUGAAGUAGGUCCCAAGGGUAUGGCUGUUCGCCAUUUAAAGUGGUACGCGAGCUGGGUUUAGAACGUCGUGAGACAGUUCGGUCCCUAUCUGCCGUGGGCGCUGGAGAAUUGAGGGGGGCUGCUCCUAGUACGAGAGGACCGGAGUGGACGCAUCACUGGUGUUCGGGUUGUCAUGCCAAUGGCACUGCCCGGUAGCUAAAUGCGGAAGAGAUAAGUGCUGAAAGCAUCUAAGCACGAAACUUGCCCCGAGAUGAGUUCUCCCUGAGACUUUAAGUCUCCUGAAGGAACGUUAAAGACGAUGACGUUGAUAGGCCGGGUGUGUAAGCGCAGCGAUGCGUUGAGCUAACCGGUACUAAUGAACCGUGAGGCUUAACCUU